rnacentral:siRNA from 1 species
AUUCAUAAUUGGAGAAUUAGGUAC